rnacentral:lncRNA from 1 species
GGCGGAGUGAGCAGGGGCCGCUGGCUGCGGGGUCUGCAGGUCCCCGAGCCCCAGGAGAGGGGAUCCUGAGGGACCUGCCCGUGUGUCCUUGCAGCGGGCGCUCGGCCCCGCGGGCUCCCGGCAGCGCCCAGGAAAGGCCGUUUCGCCCUGCGAGGGACACAGAGCCGUUGACCGUGGUUGCAACUGGCAGUUGGCGCAGUAAGGACCCAGCCAGUGUUUCAGAUUUGCUGGGCCGUGGCUGUCACCCAGGGAGCUGCUAAGGGGGACGAAGACUCACUAUGUUGCCCAGCUGGUCUCCAACUUCUGGAAUCAAUCGAUCCUCCCAUCUUGGCCUCCCAAACUGGUGGGAUUACAGGCAGGCGUGAACCACCAUGCUCAGCCUAAACUCACCCAUUUUAAGUGUACAGUUUGAUCACUUUGAGUAAAUGUAUAAGACAUGCAAACACCAUCACGAGAAGUUUUAGAAUGUUUCUAUCACUCCAAAAGUUCCCGCACACCCUUUUGCAGUGAGU